rnacentral:misc_RNA from 1 species
GGUAUUAAAAUUUUGUCUAUUACUUUUUAAUUGAGAAUGUCUAACAAUAAGAAUGUUUGGGUGGAUGUUACAAUUUCAAAUCAAUGGGAUAUUUUUUGGUCAUUGUUUCACAAUCAUAAAAGUCCAACAUACAUGUUUGCUGAAAAGUAUGAUCGCAGUCUGAUCAAAGAAAAAAUUCUGUCAACACAUCGUAUUAAAGAUGUUAUUGAAAAGCACAAGCAAGAGACAGGGAUUGAUAGUAACACUGCUUAUAAAAAUGCUGCAAGUAUAAUUGAUGAAAUAUCUCAUGCAUUUAGUUUACGAACUAUUCGUUUCAUGGCAUAUAUUAUUAUGAAGACAGUAAGAAAACUAUUUAAAGAAGUACUUGUCAACAAAGAUGGUAUAGAUGCUUUUAGAGAAUGCAGCUAUUUGACUCCUGUUGUUUUAGCACCUACCCAUAACAGCUAUUUUGAUUUUAUACUAAUAUCUUAUGUCUGCUUUGCAAUGAAUCUUCCUAUCCCUGCUAUUGCAGCAGGGCAAGACUUCUUAAGUAUGGCAAUCGUUAAUCAUUUACUUCGAGGAAGUGGAGCAUUUUACAUGCGUCGUUCAUUUGCAACAGACUUCUUCUACAAAAGUAUUUUUACAGAGUACGUCCAACUUGUGCUUCUAAUUGCUGAGCGUCCUAUUGAAUUUUUUCCCGAAGGUACAAGGAGUCGUUGUGGAAAAGCUUCUCAGCCAAAAGUUGGUUUAUUGUCAAUGGUAUUAGAAAGUUUUGUACAUGGAUUUGUUCCCGACGUAUCAUUUAUUCCGAUAAGCAUAAGUUUUGAAAAAAUUACAGAAGAAAAUUUAUACAUGUUUGAGUUACUUGGUAUUCCAAAGCCAAAAGAAUCGUUAUUGGGAAUGCUAAAAGCCAGAUCAGUUUUAUACUCAGAUUAUGGUUCAGUCUGCAUUUACUUUGGAAAAAUCAUGUCUUUAAAAGACUUCUGUAAAGGAAAAAUUGAUAACAUAAGUUAUGUAAAAAUACCAAGGUGUGAAAGACAUUUAAAAAUCUUUGGAAGAGAAGAAAGUGAAAUGAAGAUUGCAAAAGACUUUGCAAUUCAAAUAGUUCUUGAACAACAGAGCAAUAUGACAAUUUACAUUCGAGCAGUAGUUGCUGCUUAUUUGUUACAGUAUCAAAAUGUGGAAUUAGAGACUUUGGUUCAAUUUGUAAAUUGUAUAGGAUUUGUGCUAACUCAAUUUGGGUGCCAUUUAUAUAAUAUUGAAGAAUUACUUACAGAUAAAUCUUCAAUAAUAAAGGCAUUAAAUUACUCCUGUACGGUUCUAAAAAUUACUAAUAACAAAGUAAUAUAUGACUGUUUUCAACUUUCUUCAGCUACUUCAAUUCAAAAUGAUCUAUCUAAGGUUUUGAUAGAUUUAGAAUGUCAUGCAUUAGGAUAUGUUUAUCUAUCUUGUCAACGUAAUCGACUUAUUCAAUCUUGUUUUUUUCCUUCCAUUUUACUUUGCAGCAUGUCAAGGAGUUCACACAGAGUUGCAUGUUUCAAAGUAUUUUCAUUUUUAUGUGAUUUACUACAGUUUGAAGUAAUCGUUAAUCCUACCUGCAAUAAUGAAGAGGCUUUUGUUACAGCUAUCACUUUGCUCCAAACAUCAAAGUUGGUUACAUUUGCAAAUGAUGAAAUUAUCCCAAUAAAAAUCAAAAUGGCUGAAAUUGAAUUUUUAAUAUAUUUGCUACAGCCCUUUUAUGAUGCAUAUUUGAUUGUUAUGGAAAAUUUGCUGGUUCAAAAAUUUAAUUUUCCAAUUCCUUUCAAACUUAUUGCAGCUUCUCUUCAAUUGCAUUCUGUUAAAACUAUUAAAUAUUGUGGACUGCAAACCUUUGAAUCUCUGUCAUUGCAUACACUUUCGAACAUUGUGAUUUAUCUUUCAAGAAGUGAUCAUUUGUUAACAGUGAAGAAAAAAUUUUGAUAAUAGAGCAAAACCAAUGAUAUCAUUCAGCAUCCCAAAAUUAUUGCAAAAUUUGAAACCCUCAUUAGUGGUGUUAAUAGAAAUAAAAUGAUCAGAACAAUGCAAGAGUUAGCUAAAUACGUAUCACCUUGCUUAAAGAACCUUACAAAUGAAUCAAAGCUAUAAAUUCUUUGAUAUGAUCUUCUGUUGCUUUUUAUUUUUUAUAUUGUUAUCAAUGAUAUACUUGAAUAUAAAAUAACUAACAAUUUUUUUGAAA